UACGUAGGGCGCGAGCGUUGUCCGGAAUUAUUGGGCGUAAAGAGCUUGUAGGCGGUUUGUCGCGUCUGCCGUGAAAUUUCGAGGCUCAACCUCGAACUUGCGGUGGGUACGGGCAGACUAGAGUGUGGUAGGGGAGACUGGAAUUCCUGGUGUAGCGGUGAAAUGCGCAGAUAUCAGGAGGAACACCGAUGGCGAAGGCAGGUCUCUGGGCCACUACUGACGCUGAGAAGCGAAAGCAUGGGGAGCGAACAGG
rnacentral:rRNA from 1 species